AGUGAACGCUGGCGGUAGGCCUAACACAUGCCAGUCGAACGGCAGCACAGUAAGAGCUUGCUCUUACGGGUGGCGAGUGGCGGACGGGUGAGGAAUACAUCGGAAUCUACUUUUUCGUGGGGGAUAACGUAGGGAAACUUACGCUAAUACCGCAUACGACCUACGGGUGAAAGCAGGGGAUCUUCGGACCUUGCGCGAUUGAAUGAUCCGAUGUCGGAUUAGCUAGUUGGCGGGGUAAAGGCCCACCAAGGCGACGAUCCGUAGCUGGUCUGAGAGGAUGAUCAGCCACACUGGUACUGAGACACGGUCCAGACUCCUACGGGAGGCAGCAGUGGGGAAUAUUGGACAAUGGGCGCAAGCCUGAUCCAGCCAUACCGCGUGGGUGAAGAAGGCCUUCGGGUUGUAAAGCCCUUUUGUUGGGAAAGAAAAGCAGCAGGUUAAUACCCCGCUGUUCUGACGGUACCCAAAGAAUAAGCACCGGCUAACUUCGUG
rnacentral:rRNA from 1 species